rnacentral:lncRNA from 1 species
ACCGAAACAGCUGUGACAUAUUGAAAAUAAAAUUGAGAAGAUUUGAAUUAAUAAAAUAGAUGUUUAUUUUAUUAAAUCUUUCCAUUUAUUGUUUUUUUGCCGAAAGUGAAAAUAUGAAACGUGCAUAUCCAAGUGGAGAGCAAAAGCACAAAGAAAAGAAAGUGAAAGGAGAUGAAGCAAAGAAAUAUUAUCAUAAACUUACUUUGUGGAUCAAUAAGCCUGAUAAGGCUCAAGAUAGGCUUAGUUUAAGGGCAUGUACAGCUCCGGCUGAAGGGUUUGUCGCCUCGAAGGGGUGUGGUCGGCUGUUGGGCGGUACUC